rnacentral:rRNA from 1 species
UGGGGAAUUUUGCACAAUGGGCGCAAGCCUGAUGCAGCAACGCCGCGUGUGUGAUGAAGGUCUUCGGAUUGUAAAGCACUUUCGACCGGGACGAAACACCACUGGCUAAUAUCCAGGGGCCUGACGGUACCGGGAGAAGAAGCACCGGCUAACUCUGUGCCAGCAGCCGCGGUAAUACAGAGGGUGCAAGCGUUGUUCGGAAUUAUUGGGCGUAAAGCGCGUGUAGGCGGUCUUGCAAGUCGGGUGUGAAAUCCCUCGGCUUAACUGAGGAAGUGCGCCCGAAACUGCAGGACUUGAGUACCGGAGAGGGUGGCGGAAUUCCCCAAGUAGAGGUGAAAUUCGUAGAUAUGGGGAGGAACACCGGUGGCGAAGGCGGCCACCUGGACGGAUACUGACGCUGAGACGCGAAAGCGUGGGGAGCAAACAGG